rnacentral:rRNA from 1 species
AUACGGAGGGUGCAAGCGUUAUCCGGAAUCAUUGGGUUUAAAGGGUCCGCAGGCGGAUUAAUAAGUCAGUGGUGAAAUCCUCUCGCUCAACGAGAGAACUGCCAUUGAAACUGUUAGUCUUGAAUUCGGUCGAAGUAGGCGGAAUGUGUCAUGUAGCGGUGAAAUGCAUAGAUGUGACACAGAACACCGAUAGCGAAGGCAGCUUACUAGACCUGGAUUGACGCUCAUGGACGAAAGCGUGGGGAGCGAACAGGAUUAGAUACCCUAGUAGUCC